rnacentral:rRNA from 1 species
GAUGAACGCUAGCGGCAGGCCUAAUACAUGCAAGUCGAACGGUAACAUUGGUGCUUGCACCAGAUGACGAGUGGCGCACGGGUGCGUAACGCGUAUGCAACCUACCUUUUACUAGAGUAUAGCCCAGAGAAAUUUGGAUUAAUCCUCUAUAACAUCUUUUAAUUUCAUGAUUUUAAGAUUAAAGUUUUAACGGUAAAAGAUGGGCAUGCGUCCUAUUAGUUUGUAGGUGAGGUAACGGCUCACCUAGACUACGAUAGGUAGGGGCCCUGAGAGGGGGAUCCCCCACACUGGUACUGAGACACGGACCAGACUCCUACGGGAGGCAGCAGUAAGGAAUAUUGGACAAUGGACGAAAGUCUGAUCCAGCCAUGCCGCGUGCAGGAUGACAGCCCUACGGGUUGUAAACUGCUUUUAUACAGGAAGAAACCUUUCCACGUGUGGAAAGCUGACGGUACUGUAAGAAUAAGGAUCGGCUAACUCCGUG